rnacentral:rRNA from 1 species
UGGGGAAUCUUGCACAAUGGGGGCAACCCUGAUGCAGCGACGCCGCGUGAGCGAUGAAGCCCUUCGGGGCGUAAAGCUCUUUCGACCGGAACGAUAAUGACGGUACCGGGAGAAGAAGCUGCGGCUAACUACGUGCCAGCAGCCGCGGUAAUACGUAGGCAGCAAGCGUUGUUCGGAGUUACUGGGCGUAAAGAGUGCGUAGGCGGUUUUCUAAGUUCGGUGUGAAAUCUCCCGGCUUAACUGGGAGGGUGCGCCGAAGACUGGGAAGCUGGAGUGUGGGAAAGGCAGGCGGAAUUCCUGGUGUAGCGGUGAAAUGCGUAGAUAUCAGGAGGAGCGCCGGCGGUGUAGACGGCUUGCUAGACCAUAACUGACGCUGAGGCACGAAAGCGUGGGUAGCAAACA